rnacentral:rRNA from 1 species
AUGAACGCUAGCGACAGGCUUAACACAUGCAAGUCGAGGGGCAGCACAGGUAGCAAUACCGGGUGGCGACCGGCGCACGGGUGAGUAACGCGUAUGCAACUUGCCUAUCAGAGGGGGAUAACCCGGCGAAAGUCGGACUAAUACCGCAUGAAGCAGGGGCCCCGCAUGGGGAUAUUUGCUAAAGAUUCAUCGCUGAUAGAUAGGCAUGCGUUCCAUUAGGCAGUUGGCGGGGUAACGGCCCACCAAACCGACGAUGGAUAGGGGUUCUGAGAGGAAGGUCCCCCACAUUGGUACUGAGACACGGACCAAACUCCUACGGGAGGCAGCAGUGAGGAAUAUUGGUCAAUGGCCGAGAGGCUGAACCAGCCAAGUCGCGUGAGGGAUGAAGGUUCUAUGGAUCGUAAACCUCUUUUAUAAGGGAAUAAAGUGCGGGACGUGUCCCGUUUUGUAUGUACCUUAUGAAUAAGGAUCGGCUAACUCCGUGCCAGCAGCCGCGGUAAUACGGAGGAUCCGAGCGUUAUCCGGAUUUAUUGGGUUUAAAGGGUGCGUAGGCGGCCUUUUAAGUCAGCGGUGAAAGUCUGUGGCUCAACCAUAGAAUUGCCGUUGAAACUGGGGGGCUUGAGUAUGUUUGAGGCAGGCGGAAUGCGUGGUGUAGCGGUGAAAUGCAUAGAUAUCACGCAGAACCCCGAUUGCGAAGGCAGCCUGCCAAGCCAUUACUGACGCUGAUGCACGAAAGCGUGGGGAUCAAACAGGAUUAGAUACCCUGGUAGUCCACGCAGUAAACGAUGAUCACUAGCUGUUUGCGAUACACUGUAAGCGGCACAGCGAAAGCGUUAAGUGAUCCACCUGGGGAGUACGCCGGCAACGGUGAAACUCAAAGGAAUUGACGGGGGCCCGCACAAGCGGUGGAUUAUGUGGUUUAAUUCGAAGCAACGCGAAGAACCUUACCAGGUCUUGACAUCGAGUGACGAAUCUAGAGAUAGAUUUUUCCUUCGGGACACAAAGACAGGUGGUGCAUGGUUGUCGUCAGCUCGUGUCGUGAGAUGUUGGGUUAAGUCCCGCAACGAGCGCAACCCCUGUUGCCAGUUGCCAGCAUUAAGUUGGGGACUCUGGCGAGACUGCCGGUGACAAGCCGGAGGAAGGCGGGGAUGACGUCAAAUCAUCAUGCCCCUUAUGACCUGGGCUACACACGUGCUACAAUGGCGUAAACAAAGGGAAGCGAGCCUGCGAGGGUAAGCAAAUCUCAAAAAUAACGUCUCAGUUCGGAUUGUAGUCUGCAACUCGACUACAUGAAGCUGGAAUCGCUAGUAAUCGCGAAUCAGCAUGUCGCGGUGAAUACGUUCCCGGGCCUUGUACACACCGCCCGUCACACCAUGAGAGUCGGGAACACCCGAAGUCCGUAGCCUAACCGUAAGGAGGGCGCGGCCGAAGGUGGGUUCGAUAAUUGGGGUG